AACGGGAAGAGCCCAAACCAGUGUGCAUGCACACUGGGGUUGUAGGACUUUCAAGAACGUGUAUGACAAUCUGUAGCAGAACCCUGUUGGAAAGCAGGACCAAAGAAGGUGACAGUCCUGUAUGCAAAACGGAAAGUUGGCACAAGAGAGCACCUGAGUACGGCGGGACACGAGGAAUCCCGUCGGAAUCCGCCAGGACCAUCUGGCAAGGCUAAAUACUACCUAGUGACCGAUAGNNNNNNNNNNGAGUGAAAUAGAACCUGAAACCGUGUGCUUACAAGUAGUCAGAGCCCGUUAAUGGGUGAUGGCGUGCCUUUUGUAGAAUGAACCGGCGAGUUACGUUAACAUGCGAGGUUAAGAUGAAGAGUCGGAGCCGUAGCGAAAGCGAGUCUGAAUAGGGCGAGUUGAGUAUGUUGACGUAGACCCGAAACCAAGUGAUCUACCCAUGUCCAGGUUGAAGGUGCGGUAAAACGCACUGGAGGACCGAACCAGGGCACGUUGAAAAGUGCUUGGAUGAGGUGUGGGUAGCGGAGAAAUUCCAAUCGAA
rnacentral:rRNA from 1 species